UAGCAAUGUCACUUAAAACAAAGUCAGUUUAACAUAUGAAAUGCUGUAAAUCAGUUCAAUAUUUUAUCUUUUAAUAUACUACAUUAAUAUGUUUCAAAAACUAUUAGUUUUAUUACUUUUAAUUUAUGCAAACGGAAAAUCUGCAAAAUCUAUUAACGGAUAUGAAGAUAUUGAUCAAAACGAUGAACUAGCUGCAAUAAAAAGUGACCUAAAUGAUUUUUCUGAUCUAACAGUGAAAUUAGAACGGCCUCCAACUGCACCUAAUUUGAAUCAAAAUAUUGAGAAUACCAAUGAUAAAAAAGUUUUAUUGGGAGAUAUUCUUUUACAAACUAACCCUUACAAAAAAACCCAGCGAACUUCCAGCGAAAGUUCGCUGGAAAUUAAAAGAUCACUGGAAAUUUACUAAGAUCACUGGGUUUUCGCUGGAUUUCCAUGGAAACAUAAGACUUCGCUGGAAGUUUGCUGAAAAUCCAACGAAAAACUUCCAAUGAUCUUAAAGUUCGCUGGAAGUUUACUGGGUUUCUUGCGAAAUAUUUCGCGGUGAUGUAAAAAGCGUUGCUGUUACAACUUCUGCAAGCAGUUAAAACUUGGAAAAUUGAUAAUAUAGCUUCUUAAAAUAAUAUUUCAAAUUUUUGUAUAAAAGUAAUCCUUUUUAUUUUAUUUUUUGCAUCUAAUAGAUGAUCUAUAGUGUGAGUUUCAAUUAUUAUUAGUUCUACUCAAGUUACAAAACAAAAUCAUCUGGUAGUUUAAUGAUUAUAAUGGUUGCCAUUGGUGUUCUUCUCAAGGGAAGACACUGUACUGUUGUAAAUAAUCUUUUAUCUGCAAUCAGUGUGCCAAGCAAUAUAAGACAGACUCGAUGAUCAUUAAGUUGUAUAAAGCAUUGGAAAGGAUAAAAGUGAUAAAAUGCUAUUGGUUGGAAAUUGAUAAAUUAAUAAAAAAUGAUUGAUUCUAAUUGCGCGAAAAUAUGUUGCUCUAAAGACCCAAACCGAAAAGAAUGCCUAAAGUGGUUUUCAAAAGAUGAAUUGACGAAUUUCAUAAUUCUUUUUGUUUCGUUGUGAUAAUUUGUCGUAUGAGAAAGCUAACGAGAAAAAACUUUUUAAAUAUAGAAACAUGCGUAAUAUAAAGUUUACUUAUGCCUAUAAAAAAAUAUGUUUUACGUUAAUUAAUAAAUUAACUUUUUAGUUUCUUGUUAAAAAUUGUAUUCUGUAUUGAAGUUUAUUUCUGAGAAUUUGUAAUUAUACCUAAGAUAAUCUAAUCCUACAUUGUAUUUUAAUUUAUAAAACUCGAUAUUUUAAAAUAAAUAUAUUACUUUUUUAUCGCG